ensembl:lncRNA
AGAUUUCCCAGGAACAACAGAGAUAAUUUGUCUGCUGCACUGGGCUCUGGUGACUGGGUGGCUUGUAGACUAGGCCCACGGCCUUUCACCUCAUCCUGCUCUUGCCUGCUGGUUCUCCCAGCCAUGCCGAUUAGAAGCGAGAGAAAUUAAGAUCUCCCCCUCGCCUCCCACCGCCAUAGGCUGCAGGAGUAGGUUGCAGGCAACUUUGAAGGUAGGCGGAAACUGUCCAUGAGGGGAUGGGAACCUAGUCUCCCCCUAGCGCGGAGGCCAGCCUGGCGUGGGUGAUCACACAGCUGCUAGUUUGGAAGAAUUUGUUCAAAGCAAGGAACUUCUGCCCACAGUCAUCCCUUCCAUCUCUCCACUUCUACCCUUGGGCCUAAGACUUCACUGCCUCAGCUGUUGAGGAGUAGACUUCUCUUGACAUCAUUAAUGUGCCCAAGAUGCCCUGUUUGCACAUAUUUGUGUGCCUUCCAAUUAAAAUGAUUCAUUAAACCUCUGGUGGAGUUCAUUUUUAUUCUGCAAUAAGAACACUCAAAUAAAUACAUUCAGCCAUGGAAAGAAUCCUUUGAGCAAGCCCAUGUCCUAAUUUUGGUUUGGGGAAUCUAGUCCUGAAGUUGUCAUCUGGGAAUGUGCUGAAGAGACUGGAGGCCAGUUUUGCAAGGGAGCUGAGCAGGCCGACCUGACUCUGGCUACUUGGAGUGGGGCUGAGCAGCUUGGCUCUGUCCGGCCCUGGGGACAGCAUGGCAGCUCCUGAGGACUCCGCAGGCCCUGCAGCCCUGUGGCCCAGAAGCAGGGGCUCCCUCUCUCCUUUGGGAGAUCGUUGUGGAAUGUAGUUAACAUCAGCCUCAGCAAACACCACACUCCGCAUACCGUGAUGCUGCCUGGGGACAACCCGCAGCUAUAGUUUCCAUCCUGAGUGACUGGGAAGUAGCAUGUGUCACUCCCAACCGUGGGUCUCCACAGAGGAGGCCAAGUGGCUACUGGAUGCACCUGGAUGGGGCUCACGCCCAGUCUGUUCCGGGCUCUGUGACCUGAUGAUUUGGGGGUCCUUGAUGCCCCUCUGAGUUGCAGUUGUUUUCCAGUGGAAGACAUCUCUCAGAAACCUACCAUGCUACCCAAUUUGUAUUUCUAAGUCUUGCCAGCAAUCCCACUCAUUCCUGUUUUACAGACAAGGAGAUUGUUGCUCAGAGAGAUUCAUUGACUUGACC